rnacentral:lncRNA from 1 species
GUAGUUGUCACGCCCCGAGCCCGCCUCUUUGGUCGGAUUCGGGCACGCCAACAGACCGCCGAACGGACAGGGUUUCCCCUGUACCGCGGACAGAGUCUCCCCUGUACGUUCAAGGCGUCGCAAUCAAUACAAUGUACGAAGUUCCAACCAGGAACACAUUUCAAGCAAAGAUUGCAUAAGGAAGUAUCAAAAACAUAAAUCUACUUGCUAUUACAAGCAUUCACAUUCAUACAUUUUUACAUCACAAUUCUCAUUUGAUUCUUACAUUAGCUUUCACUUAACUUCCAAAUACAAUCCGAUUUUAACAUAGUUAUUACAACAUUGUUCUUACAAUUAUCACAUUUUUGGUUCUUU